rnacentral:tRNA from 1 species
GCGCUCUUAGCUCAAUUGGAUAGAGCAUCUGACUACGAAUCAGAAGGUUGGGGGUUCAAAUCCCUCAGGGCGCG